CCAUACAAUAUGAAGGCUGUCCGCAGCUGGAGUAUUUUA
rnacentral:rRNA from 1 species